UGAAUAGUAGGUGUUUGGCGUGUGGUUUUAGUGAUUCCGUAGCAAGUAACGAUUCUCUUGUUGUGGAAUUUAAGAGUAGAAGAAUGAAGAAUUGAGAAUGGGUUGUAGGAAGAUGUCUUAAUUGUAAGGAGAUGAAUGAAUUGUCAGAAUGUCUCCUCCCCCUUUUAAAAUCUCUAACAUGAUAGGGUAUUUAUAAUACUCCUAUCCUACUCCUACUAAACUAAUAAAAUAAAUAACCAAAUCCUAAUAUACUAAUGAAAUCCUUGACCCAAUUGUACUAGGGUAAGGUUACAAAAUUAUAAUCCAAAUAGAAUGAUGAAACACAUAACCUAAUUGCACUAGGUUAAUGUAUUAUGGCAAAAAUCCAGCUUUGUGUCUGUAAGUCCCAAAGUCUUCAGAAAUGCUGUUUUAGCCCGGGACAGAUUUUCCAUGCAGCAGAUUUAGUCCUUUAUGCGUCCAGCUCCUUUCCAUCUCGUUUGUGAGCUUUCUUUUGCGUCAAGUAAGCCAUAAAUUGCUGUAUUUUGCAUCAUUUAUACCUGAAACUUUCCUAAUC
rnacentral:lncRNA from 1 species